rnacentral:rRNA from 1 species
GACGAACGCUGGCGGCGUGCUUAACACAUGCAAGUCGAACGGAAAGGCCCUGCUUUUGUGGGGUGCUCGAGUGGCGAACGGGUGAGUAACACGUGAGUAACCUGCCCUUGACUUUGGGAUAACUUCAGGGAACUGGGGCUAAUACCGGAUAGGAGCUCCUGCUGCAUGGUGGGGGUUGGAAAGUUUCGGCGGUUGGGGAUGGACUCGCGGCUUAUCAGCUUGUUGGUGGGGUAGUGGCUUACCAAGGCUUUGACGGGUAGCCGGCCUGAGAGGGUGACCGGCCACAUUGGGACUGAGAUACGGCCCAGACUCCUACGGGAGGCAGCAGGGGGGAAUAUUGCACAAUGGGCGGAAGCCUGAUGCAGCAACGCCGCGUGCGGGAUGACGGCCUUCGGGUUGUAAACCGCUUUCGCAUGUGACGAAGCGUGAGUGACGGUAAUGGGUAAAGAAGCACCGGCUAACUACGUG